rnacentral:rRNA from 1 species
CCUACGGGAGGCAGCAGUCGAGAAUCAUUCACAAUGGGGGAAACCCUGAUGGUGCGACGCCGCGUGGGGGAAUGAAGGUCUUCGGAUUGUAAACCCCUGUCAUGUGGGAGCAAAUUAAAAAGAUAGUACCACACGAGGAAGAGACGGCUAACUCGGUGCCAGCAGCCGCGGUAAUACAGAGGUCUCAAGCGUUGUUCGGAAUCACUGGGCGUAAAGCGUGCGGCGGCUGUUGCGUAAGUCGUGUGUGAAAGGCGCGGGCUCCACCCGCGGACGGCACAUGAUACUGCGGGACUAGAGUAAGGGAGGAGGAACCGGAAUUCUCGGUGUAGCAGUGAAAUGCGUAGAUAUCGAGCGGAACACUCGUGGCGAAGGCAGGUUCCUGGACAUUAACGGACGCUGAGGCACGAAGGCCAGGGGAGCGAAAGGGAUUAGAUACCCGGGUAGUC